GGUGAGAUGGCUCAGCGGUUAAGAGUGCCGACUAAGGUUCCUAAGGUCCUGAGUUCAAAUCCCAGCAACCA
rnacentral:tRNA from 1 species